UGCUACAGUUUGUCACGUUUAUUAUUCCCGAGAGAGGAAAAUCCACUCGGGAGAGAGUUUAUAACCUCAAUACUACAGAAUGUCACUUCAUCAAUGCAGCAAUCCCAAGGAUGCACUUUUUGGGUAAUUAUAUUAUAACAGUAACACACAAUAGCUGCAGUACGAGGUAAUAUCAUUUAAUUGUCAAUAAUAAUAAUAAUAAUAACCGAAAUUCAAACUAUAUAGUAUAUGCAUGUCAUAUCAAAUUUAAUUAAUUCUAAUUAUGCUAUUGUUGUUACACAACGCAUUACUUGAGGGUCCGUCGCAUAUCAACAAUGCAGAAGCGAGGAAAUAUCCUAUCCAUGUGAAAAGGACAAUACGUAUAGCCCCAAAGAGGACAUCAUUACAUACCAUUGCAUCGCAAACAUCCAAGUUAGUCAUUAAUGAUACACACACAGCAGCUUAAAAGUGUUGUUAAAAUCACUAGGUAUCAAGAUUGUCACAAAUUAGGAUACUAGGACACAAGCCUAGCUGCAGAGAAAGUAUUAUUUAUCCAAAUUUGAUAUAUUUAGUGAUGAGACGACAAUAGAUGAAGUGCCACCAAUUAACUCAGAAGGAUUUCAACUGAGUGUUGACAUAUAAAUGUAAACGAAGGAAAAUCACAUACCCAGGACACCAUAUGCACUGAUGGUGUAAUAUAAAAGUCCACAUUUAUCGAUGAUCACUUGCAAGAUAGCUAUUUUAUCCUGUGUAGUAUACAAUAGAUGUAUCUUCAGGAAUAUUAACUUUGAACAACAAUAAGUGAUGCAGCAGCACAUGGGAUCCCAACAAAUUAACUAAAAACGUACAAGAUUGAGGCACUGAGGUACAAUUAUAAGGAAAUAUAACACCACCAGCUCUCCACACAUAUCAAUAACGUCAUCAGGAUGGUAAUAUAUUGUCUCACGUGGACCACCAGCAGUUUCCAGGAGGCUUCAUACACCACAGUCCCUCCGAGGAAGACCAGACUGAUGAGGCUGUGUUGCAGCGUCAAAGGGAUGAUAUAUCCACUCAAUUAUAUAUCACUAUUUUAUAAUUAAUUUGCACACAUCGAAUAUCAUAUAUUUUAUAUGUCAGUUGUAAUUAUUAUCACUAAAUGAGUUACAAUUUACACACUAGUAUAUAAUUUUUAGUUAAUUUAGUAACAUAGUACUAAAUUCUCAGUAUAUCACAAGUUACAAUAUAUCAGUUUACAAAAGAUAUUAAGUUUAUUUAAAUGUAACUAGUUAACUACCUUUUCACAGUAUAUCAAAUAAUGCAGCUAAUCAAUUAAAGAUUCAUAUAUUUUGAGACCCAAUAUUAGUUUAUUUAUUAAUAUCUCAAAAAACAUAAAAAGUAUAUAGAAAGUAUAUUAUAAUACAAUCACAGUCUUGUGUAGAAUUAGCUAAUAGCCAGCCACUAUAUAAUACUUAUGCAAAUAUCUUAUUGCAUUUAUAAGAUGUCAUUUGCAAAUAAUCCAGAUUUCACAGAUCACUUGCUUCAAUAGAAAAGCUUUACUUAUCUUGUAAAUUAGAACUAAAUUACUCACUAAAUAAUCUAAAUAUAGAUCAUUUAUUCAGAGUACAUAUAUGAAGACGUAUCUAUAUCUAUAGAACUAUAAUUUAUGAUGAAUACUUAUUCAAAUCACUAUAUAUCUAUCUUAGAAGUGUAAACAGUCAUCAAAAUAUAGACAGUUUUGUAUAUUAAUUCAAUUCUUAUAGAGAGAUUUCUUAUUUCACAGAGUUCAUGAGGAGGAUGAAAUAUACACUAUAACCGUCCACCAUUAGCUCCAAUAUCCUAUGAAUAAGGGAUCUUCUUCAAUUGUUAAAUAAAUUAUCUUCUCAGGAUAAUUUAAAGUCGAAUAGGCACAUCCAGAUGGAUAAGAGAGGCAGUCAGACAUAGUUUAAUGGAGACAUUUAUGCAAAAAGAAGGCACUAAGAUCUUAUAUCGUGUAGUGCACAUACUACGUAUAGAAGAACAUGUAUCAAUAUUCAUGAAAGAAGCAGUUACUACAUCACAACGAGAGUACAGUAGUAAGAUACGAACAGCUUAUCAUAGUAAUAUUAUUAUCUGAUAUGAAAAGGCAUUAAGGCCUUAACUAAUUUAUGCAUUAUGUAUCAAUAAUUACAGUGGAUUUCUCAUU